UUGUUUACCACUAGCAAAAAGGUGUUUUGUGGGAUUUGUGCUUUAUUUUAUUACAAUAAUCGUUUGGUUUUUUACUAUCUCUCGGUAUUUUAUUACUUGAAUCUACUAUGACAGUGUGCCCUGUGUGGAAUUGAAACGCGUCGACAGUUGUUUGACCUUCUUCCGUUUUGUUUUCCUUGCGUUAUCGGAAGAAUUAGAUUAUUACCUUCCGUGUACCAUUAAUAUAACAUUGGUUUCGUUAAGCUUGCUGAAAAUUGAACUACUAGCAGACCAAUUCGCCGCCAGACAACGGUCAUGUUGGGCCCCUCGGAAUCCUCGCUCCAAAACCCGAUGAAGCAGCUGAUGAUUAUUGAUGUGAUUGCAUCACCCGGUUACAUAGAAGCAGCUGGUGCUGUAUCGAAAUCAGAUACCACGAGCAGAUGCCGAUGGACGAGAUGCUGCCACCAUCGGCCAUAAAGAACCUGGGGAAAAUCAAUUUUAUUUCCGGCAAUCCGUUCGCACCUACAUUGGAUGUGAUAAUUUCAGGGCAAUCACGUUGCCUCCCAUUGUUGGAUAACAAAUCCCACGGACGUGCUUCAGCUUGGCACGAACCGGGUUUGGGAUUAUAUUGGCGACAACUAUUUGCUGCAGAACAAAUCUAACGGCAAGCUGCCCCCGACAAUCACCCGGCCAUCUUCUGUCUGGCAGAGGAAAUCACGCAAUUCAAAAUAAUCAACAGUUUGGAAAAAGUAGUACAAGCACACGUAGAAAGGAGUAGCACACGUGAUUGCCGGUUCGGGGCUUCAGAGUGUGGAAUCAAUGGGACGGUAGUGAUUCCGGUGGACUCAGUGACCAGCGACGGAUUUGCCGCCAGUAUUAGCGCUAGGAGAUGGAUAGUUUAACGAACCCAAUGGAGGAAACCCCGUACCACGAUUUUAACUUUUUUUAACUGCGCUCCGAAAUAUAGUAAUAAAUUGGAUAAACCUUCGUACUUUA